rnacentral:rRNA from 1 species
CGGUCUGUCAAGUCGGAUGUGAAAUCCCCGGGCUCAACCUGGGAACUGCAUUCGAAACUGGCAGGCUUGAGUCUUGUAGAGGGGGGUAGAAUUCCAGGUGUAGCGGUGAAAUGCGUAGAGAUCUGGAGGAAUACCGGUGGCGAAGGCGGCCCCCUGGACAAAGACUGACGCUCAGGUGCGAAAGCGUGGGGAGCAAACAGGAUUAGAUACCCUGGUAGUCCACGCCGUAAACGAUGUCUACUUGGAGGUUGUGCCCUUGAGGCGUGGCUUCCGGAGCUAACGCGUUAAGUAGACCGCCUGGGGAGUACGGCCGCAAGGUUAAAACUCAAAUGAAUUGACGGGGGCCCGCACAAGCGGUGGAGCAUGUGGUUUAAUUCGAUGCAACGCGAAGAACCUUAC